rnacentral:miRNA from 12 species
AAAUAUAUAUGUGUGUGUGUGUGUGUGUGUGUGUGUGUAUAUAUAUAUAUAUAUAUAUAUACACGCACAUAUCCAGCAU